rnacentral:tRNA from 1 species
AUUAUUGGGCUUGGUUGUCUUCUUUUUUCUCCUUUGUACAAGCUGAAAAUCAUCAUUAUACGUGCUUUAAAGUU